rnacentral:rRNA from 1 species
UACGUAGGGGGCAAGCGUUACCCGGAUUUACUGGGCGUAAAGGGCGCGUAGGCGGCCUUCUAAGUCGAACGUGAAAUCCCCGGGCUCAACCCGGGAACUGCGUCCGAUACUGGAAGGCUUGAAUCCGGGAGAGGGAUGCGGAAUUCCAGGUGUAGCGGUGAAAUGCGUAGAUAUCUGGAGGAACACCGGUGGCGAAGGCGGCAUCCUGGACCGGCAUUGACGCUGAGGCGCGAAAGCCAGGGGAGCAAACGGG